rnacentral:rRNA from 1 species
UACGGAGGGUGCAAGCGUUAUCCGGAUUCACUGGGUUUAAAGGGUGCGUAGGUGGCUUGGUAAGUCAGGGGUGAAAUCCCCGAGCUUAACUUGGGAACUGCCAUUGAUACUAUCAAUCUUGAAUACUGUGGAGGUCAGCGGAAUAUGUCAUGUAGCGGUGAAAUGCUUAGAUAUGACAUAGAACACCAAUUGCGAAGGCAGCUGGCUACACAAAUAUUGACACUGAGGCACGAAAGCGUGGGGAUCAAACAGG